AUGAACGCUGGCGGCGUGCCUAAUACAUGCAAGUCGAGCGAACGGACGAGAAGCUUGCUUCUCUGAUGUUAGCGGCGGACGGGUGAGUAACACGUGGAUAACCUACCUAUAAGACUGGGAUAACUUCGGGAAACCGGAGCUAAUAUCGGAUGAUAUUUUGAACCGCAUGGUUCAAAAGUGAAAGACGGUCUUGCUGUCACUUAUAGAUGGAUCCGCGCUGCAUUAGCUAGUUGGUAAGGUAACGGCUUACCAAGGCAACGAUGCAUAGCCGACCUGAGAGGGUGAUCGGCCACACUGGAACUGAGACACGGUCCAGACUCCUACGGGAGGCAGCAGUAGGGAAUCUUCCGCAAUGGGCGAAAGCCUGACGGAGCAACGCCGCGUGAGUGAUGAAGGUCUUCGGAUCGUAAAACUCUGUUAUUAGGGAAGAACAUAUGUGUAAGUAACUGUGCACAUCUUGACGGUACCUAAUCAGAAAGCCACGGCUAACUACGUG
rnacentral:rRNA from 1 species